CAAUAGCGUAUAUUAAAGUUGUUGCGGUUAAAAAGCUCGUAGUUGGAUUUCUGCUGAAAACGACCGGUCCGCCCUCUGGGUGAGUAUCUGGCUCGGCUUUGGCAUCUUCUUGGAGAUCUGGUAUGCACUUGAUUGUGUGUCCAGCUAUCUAAGACUUUUACUUUGAGGAAAUUAGAGUGUUCACGGCAGGCAAACGCCUUGAAUAUAUUAGCAUGGAAUAAUAACAUAGGAUCUUCGUCCUAUUUUGUUGGUUUCUAGGGCUAAGAUAAUGAUUAAUAGGGAUAAUUGGGGGCAUCUGUAUCAACGCGUCAGAGGUGGAAUUCUUGGAUUGCGUUGCGACAAACUACUGCGAAAGCAUUUGCCAAGGAUGUUUUCAUUGA
rnacentral:rRNA from 1 species